GUAUUGAUUGCGUGUGACCGCAAAAACAAAACAUUCUAGACUGUAUCGAAUUUUGUGUGAAAACGUGAGCCCUCCUGCAAAGGGGACCCACGCGGUGAUGCACAAGGGGUGAAAUGGAUGUGUGAGAGUGCUCAGGCGUGCACGACCUUUUGAAAGGUCAGCGACAGCCCUCGCACCCCCGUUGUAUGAUAAUGAUCCUUCCGCAGGUUCACCUACGGAAA
rnacentral:misc_RNA from 1 species